AUCCGGCUGACGAAUCCCAAAUAAGACGAAACGCACGUCAAACUGCAU
rnacentral:hammerhead_ribozyme from 1 species